AACAGGGAUUGCCCUAGUAAUGGCGAAUGAAGCGGCAACAGCUCAAAUUUGAAAUCUGGCCCUCCUUCUUGGGGGGUCCGAGUUGUAAUUUGCAGAGGGUGCUUUGGCGUUGGUGGCGGUCUAAGUUCCUUGGAACAGGCCAUCGCAGAGGGUGAGAAUCCCGUAUGUGGUCGCCCGCCUUCGCCGUGUAAAGCCCCUUCGACGAGUCGCGUUGUUUGGGAAUGCAGCGCAAAAUGGGAGGUAAAUUUCUUCUAAAGCUAAAUACUGGCCAGAGACCGAUAGCGCACAAGUAGAGUGAUCGAAAGAUGAAAAGCACUUUGGAAAGAGAGUCAAAUAGCACGUGAAAUUGUUGAAAGGGAAGCGCUUGCAGCCAGACGUGCCUGCGGUUGCUCAGCCGGGCUCCCCCCUAAACCAGGGGCGCCCGGUGCACUCUUCCGCAGGCAGGCCAGCAUCAGUUUGGGCGACUGGAGAAAGACCUCUGUCACGUAUCUUCCUUCGGGAUGACCUUAUAGGGGAGGUGUAAUGCAGCCAGCCUGGACUGAGGGACCGCGCUUCGGCGAGGAUGCUGGCGUAAUGGCUGUAAGCGGCCCGUCUUGAAACACGGACCAAGGAGUCUAACAUCUAUGCGAGUGUUUGGGUGUCAAAGCCCGGGCGCGCAAUGAAAGUAAACGGAGGUGGGAACCUCUCCUCGCGGGGGGGCGCACCAUCGACCGAUCCUGAUGUCUUCGGAUGGAUUUGAGUAAGAGCAUAGCUGUUGGGACCCGAAAGAUGGUGAACUAUGCUUGAAUAGGGUGAAGCCAGAGGAAACUCUGGUGGAGGCUCGCAGCGGUUCUGACGUGCAAAUCGAUCGUCAAAUUUGGGCAUAGGGGCGAAAGACUAAUCGAACUAUCUAGUAGCUGGUUCCUGCCGAAGUUUCCCUCAGGAUAGCAGUAACGUUUUCAGUUUUAUGAGGUAAAGCGAAUGAUUAGAGGCCUGGGGGUUGAAACAACCUUCACCUAUUCUCAAACUUUAAA
rnacentral:rRNA from 1 species